UGGGGAAUAUUGGACAAUGGGCGAAAGCCUGAUCCAGCCAUGCCGCGUGUGUGAAGAAGGCCUUCGGAUUGUAAAGCACUUUAAGUUGGGAGGAAGGGCAGUAAGCGAAUACCUUGCUGUUUUGACGUUACCGACAGAAUAAGCACCGGCUAACUCUGUGCCAGCAGCCGCGGUAAUACAGAGGGUGCAAGCGUUAAUCGGAAUUACUGGGCGUAAAGCGCGCGUAGGUGGUUCGUUAAGUUGAAUGUGAAAGCCCCGGGCUCAACCUGGGAACUGCAUCCAAAACUGGCGAGCUAGAGUAGGGCAGAGGGUGGUGGAAUUUCCUGUGUAGCGGUGAAAUGCGUAGAUAUAGGAAGGAACACCAGUGGCGAAGGCGACCACCUGGGCUCAUACUGACACUGAGGUGCGAAAGCGUGGGGAGCAAACAGG
rnacentral:rRNA from 1 species